AUUUUGCCCGGCGCCAUCUAUUAAUCACUUACCUAACUAGCUCAGAUUUAAUGUAAAAACCUGCAUGAAAUCUCCUAUCUGUGGAGGUGUGAGAAAAAAAUUUCUGAAAUAUCAAUUGAAAAAAACGACACAAAAAAUAAAGUUAUACAAAAUGGUGGAUAAAGAAAAACAAAAUACUGUCGAAUUUGUAAGCAAAUCUAGAAAAUAUAUUGGAAAAUAAAAGGCUUUGUUAUGCAACAUCAAAAAUACAAGGUUAUCUCGUCGAAAAUCUGAAUAAAGAAAUACGAUGCAAUGAAUUUGACUAUGAAAUAAACUAGAAUAUUUGACAAAAAAAAAACUAAGUCUAAGAUAACCCAAAAUUAUCUUGAAUAUUCAAAAUUUGUUAUACUAAAGCUAGAAAA
rnacentral:lncRNA from 1 species